UACGUAGGGUGCAAGCGUUGUCCGGUAUUAUUGGGCGUAAAGAGCUCGUAGGCGGUUUGUCGCGUCUGCUGUGAAAACCCGAGGCUCAACCUCGGGCCUGCAGUGGGUACGGGCAGACUAGAGUGCGGUAGGGGAGACUGGAAUUCCUGGUGUAGCGGUGAAAUGCGCAGAUAUCAGGAGGAACACCGGUGGCGAAGGCGGGUCUCUGGGCCGAAAUUGACGCUGAGGAGCGAAAGCGUGGGGAGCAAACAGG
rnacentral:rRNA from 1 species